GUCAAUGACGAAUAGAAGUUAUCCCUGUCUGAAUGAUUGUGACGACAAACAACUAUGGUAACACUCCGAGAC
rnacentral:snoRNA from 14 species